GACAAGACGCACAGGUUGCGUUUUAGACAAAGAAAAUAAUAGAAGGGUUGGAGCGGAGAAGGAGAAGGGAACGCCAGGAGCUUCAAGCUUCAAACACGGAAAAGUCCACCACUGUGGUUCGUGUCUCGUUCUGUGUUUCGCGUUCUCACCGGUUCAGUAGCAGCAAUCCAGGAGCUUCAAGCUUCAAACACGGAAAAGUCCACCACUGUGGUUCGUGUCUCGUUCUGUGUUUCGCGUUCUCAUCGGUUCAGUAGCAGCAAUUUCCUUCACACUAUUUAAUCGGAGAAGGUUGUUUGAGUGAAGUUUCAUUAAGUUGCCUAGUGAAAACUUGGGAGAAAAUAGAAGUAACAUUCAAGAGUUGUGAACCUGCAACAAAGUUUAUUUGGAGAAGGUUGUUUGUGAGGUUUCACUAAGUUGCAAUAGAGG